rnacentral:rRNA from 1 species
UACAGAGGUCCCAAGCGUUGUUCGGAAUCACUGGGCGUAAAGCGCACGUAGGCGGAUCUUUAAGUCAGGGUGAAAUCCCGAGGCUCAACCUCGGAACUGCCUUUGAUACUGGAGAUCUCGAGUCCGGGAGAGGUGAGUGGAACUGCGAGUGUAGAGGUGAAAUUCGUAGAUAUUCGCAAGAACACCAGUGGCGAAGGCGGCUCACUGGCCCGGUACUGACGCUGAGGUGCGAAAGCGUGGGGAGCAAACAGG